rnacentral:rRNA from 1 species
AUGAACGCUGGCGGCGUGCCUAAUACAUGCAAGUAGAACGCUGAAGGAAGGAGCUUGCUCUUUCCGGAUGAGUUGCGAACGGGUGAGUAACGCGUAGGUAACCUGCCUGGUAGCGGGGGAUAACUAUUGGAAACGAUAGCUAAUACCGCAUAACAGUAGAUGUUGCAUGAUAUCUACUUAAAAGGUGCAAUUGCACCACUACCAGAUGGACCUGCGUUGUAUUAGCUAGUUGGUGAGGUAACGGCUCACCAAGGCGACGAUACAUAGCCGACCUGAGAGGGUGAUCGGCCACACUGGGACUGAGACACGGCCCAGACUCCUACGGGAGGCAGCAGUAGGGAAUCUUCGGCAAUGGACGGAAGUCUGACCGAGCAACGCCGCGUGAGUGAAGAAGGUUUUCGGAUCGUAAAGCUCUGUUGUAAGAGAAGAACGAGUGUGAGAGUGGAAAGUUCACACUGUGACGGUAGCUUACCAGAAAGGGACGGCUAACUACGUG